CAGAGGUAGAUUUUUCCUUCAUAGCGUCUGGUAUGAUUAUAUGUUUUGGCUUUAGGAGAAAAAAACAAGGUUGUUACCACACCAAACUUUUAAUUGUUGCUGCGCAGCACUGUAUAGAGCCAAGGACAUUUCAGUUUUUCAGCUUCAUGUACUGUCCUGACAGUGAGGGGAAUUGAAGGGGCACAGGGAGCUGGGAGGGGACAGACCCAGGACAGCUGACCUAAACUGGCAAAAGGGAUAUUCCACACCAUAUGAAAGUGUGCAAGAAGAACUUGAAAGUGUAAAUGGAUUUUGUCUCAACACAUGAGUUCUACUUUGUUGUUUCUUUUAACAAUACUCUACUCCACCCCACUUGGGAGGAGGGAUGGAAGGACUUCUCAUUAUUACAGAAGAGAUCUGUUGAUGGGAAAUGAUCCUGUUCAACUUACUAUGACCUGCUUUACCAGGUGUUCCCUGAGAGGCUAUUGUUGGAGACGUUAACUUUUAGUGGAAUGACAGCCAUUAGGAGGCCAAGAAGAGGUUCUCUUGUUGUAAGAUUUCUACCAUGAUAUAUGAGAUGAAAAUAUAAUUCACAUCUUAUUACGCCUGUGGGAAAAGAAAGUAAUUACAUGCAUUUUCAUCAAACCUAUCAAGCAACAGGGAAAAAGUUUCACUUUAAAGCCAGGAAGAAGACAGUAUUCUAGUGACUUAGCCUACAACUUGCUGACAAUUUUAGUUUACAUCAGGACAAUGGAAUUGAAUUAGGAAAGAUGUUCUCUCAUAAUGGUUUGCAUGCACAUUGUGCUGGGCGGUCCUAGGCACAAAGAAGUCUAACCUGUGGGAGUGUGGAAUACCUCCCACAGGAUGCAGCCCAUCAUCAACGGAUCCACAGGCUGAAGUCCUUCAAGAACUAUUCUAAUAUGGGUACCAUGGGACUCAUCCUUCUGGAAUGGACUGCUCCAGCAUGGGUUCCCCAUGGGCAGUUUCACCACAGGCUCCUCUCCAUGGGCUACAGCUCGAGCCUGAGGAUGCUUCUGUGGGGUCUUUCCAUAGGCUGUACCCCCUUCAGGCCUCAUCCACUGCUGCACCAUGGGCUUCUACAUGGCUGCUGGGGAGAUCUGCUCCAUGUAGUGAUCAUGGACUACAAGGGGACAGCCUGCUUCUCCAUGGACCUCUCCUGGGAUCCAGGGAGCUUCUGCUCUGUGCCUGGAGCACCUCCUGCCCUCCUUCUGCACUGACCUGGAUGUAUGCAGGAUUGUUUCUCUCACACUUUCUCAGUCCUCUCUCCCAGCUGCUGUUGCACAGCAGUUUUUCCCUUUCUUAAAUCUGCUCUCCCAGAGGCACACCCAAGCAUUGCCCAUGGCUCAGCUCUGUCCAGUGGUUGGUCCCUUUUGUGGAUGUCUAGAGCUGCCUCUGAUUUGACAUGGGGCAGCUUUUGGGUUCUCACAGAGGCCACCCCUACAACCUUGUUCUGCUACCAAAACCUUGCCACAUAAUCCCAUACAAUAUAUUUAAGUAUAAAUAUGUAUUCUUAGUGGGGGACCUUCAUCUAGCUCAGCCAGAGAGGGAAGCAGGACAGGUGUAUUGUUGCUGUCUGUGUUCAUGUAUAUAUGUGUAUGUAUAUGGCAUACAUGUGUUGUCUACGCGCUUAUGCCUACUGUGACUGUAUCUUCAGUCUUGCUACUUUUUUUGUACAUCAAGAUCUGGAGAUGCAGUAGCUUCUCUUAGACUGUCAAAUCCAGUGGGAGAAUAUGUCUUCCCCUAAUAUUCAGCAUUUAACAAAGCUGAUUCCUAUCCUUACCAUAUUUCACAGGGUUUCUGGUGUCUAAUUUAUAGUUAUGUUACCACAACCACUGUCAGCAUUAUGAAAACAUUAAUUUUUUAGAGUAGAUCCUCUGCAAAAUAUUCAUAAGCUGGUCUUUUAAAAUCAUUGUAAUUGCUGUUCCUCAACACAAAACUGAAUUGAAACUUCUUCCCAUAUUAUUUGUGUUUGAUUCACAUUGUUUAUACUGAUUUUUUUUUUCACCACUAGAUUUGCAGUCUCUCAAUAGUUUUCUUUGGACAGGUGUGAGAAGCAAAUAGAACUGGUCAAUCUUUACUUUCUUCUUCAUAUUAAAAUGUGCCUGUGAAUCUUCUUCCAUGGAAACUAAAUAAGGCAGAAAACUGUACAAAAAUAUCACCUGCAGCUGAAUUAAAAAAAAAAAAAAAAGAGCUUACAGUAGUGCAACAACUUUCUAAAGGAAGUAACAGGCACUCAGUUUCAGCAAUCUGAGUCAGACAGUUCAAUGACCUGAGAGCAUAUUAACAGCUGCUAGAUAGGCAUCAGAACCUCUGUAUAGAACAGAUGGAGCUUUCUUUUCAUGAGGUGCUCUAAGUAGACUGCAUCCAACAAGCAGCCUCGCUAUGAAAGAUGUAACAAAUAGAGCACCACAUCUUGAAUGUGUGUAUGUGUUCUCACGGGCAACUUGUUCCUGUGUGUGGGCAGGUUUUGGGGAACUGGAUGGGUAUAGAGCAAGAACACCCCCUUAUCUCCCAGGAAAGUUUUAUGAUAGCAGAGGAAUGCACAUUCACAGGAAAGGGGGAUGUGCUCUUAAUCAACAUGCCAUGUAGAGAGUAUGUAUAUGAAUGUAACUAAAUGUGAGAGGUGGCUUAGAAUGUUUUGGGACCAGUUAUAAGAAGGUAUUUAGGAGUGUGUGGUAGUUUGCAGAAAAGUUGUAUGCUAUACUGUACUGUUGAUACUAAUUCUGAAUGCAUAGUGCACUGAUUAGCAGUUGAGUGUCAUUAAUAAAUCAAUAAACUGCUUCAAUGCCUGAUUUGACUUAAACCAUGUGCAACAGUUUGUCCCUGUGACACAUUCUGGUAAGCUUGCCAUGGAUCAGCAAGACU